CACACAAACACACACACACACAUACCCCAACACAAUUCCCAUACAGUGGCUCGACAUAAACACGUCUGAAGUGGAGAUAAAACAGAAUUUAAUCUAUCAUCGUUUUUAAGAUGUAUUUACUACUUUUUCAAUUUCAGAAUCUACAUGAAAACCAGGAAAGAGUGGCAGGGAUUACACCGAGGAAGAUGAGCACUCGUGCUAUCUAUACAGGGGUGGAUAUACUGUACUCCUCCCUGCCAUUGUGGGGCACCCAGAGGCAUCAAUAAAAUGGAUCUAAUUUGAGCCAGAAAUGCUGGACUACAACAUGAAGAGGAACAGGAAAAACCUUUUCAAACAUAACAAUGCCUCACACUGUAAUUAAA